rnacentral:rRNA from 1 species
CUCGUAGGCGGCCAACUAAGUCGGACGUGAAAUCCCUCGGCUUAACCGGGGAACUGCGUCUGAUACUGGAUGACUUGAGUGUGGGAGAGGGAUGCGGAAUUCCAGGUGUAGCGGUGAAAUGCGUAGAUAUCUGGAGGAACACCGGUGGCGAAGGCGGCAUCCUGGACCACUACUGACGCUGAGUGAGCGAAAGCCAGGGGAGCAAACGGGAUUAGAUACCCCGGUAGUCCUGGCCCUAAACGAUGAAUGCUUGGUGUGGCGGGUAUCGAUCCCUGCCGUGCCGAAGCUAACGCAUUAAGCAUUCCGCCUGGGGAGUACGGUCGCAAGGCUGAA